ACUGACAGCUGUUGCUUCUGUUCUCUGGAACCUCUUCAAGCAAAGGAUCAAACACAAGUCUGAGCUCUGAGCCCAUGGUCCUAGCUUGUCCUUGAAGUAUGAGAUUGGAGACUGGAGUAAGCGUGUUUCUGACCUUGGGGACUGUGAUUGAUGCUAAGAUCACUCAGCCCAGCUCCAUGGAUUGUCCUGAAGGAGAGGAUGUGAGCCUGCCUUGUAACCACUCUACAGUUGGUGGAAAUGACUAUAUACAUUGGUAUCGGCAAAAUCCCAAUCAGAGUCCACAGUAUGUCAUUCAUGGCUUACGAGGCACAGGGAACAGCCUGGCCUCUCUGACCAUAGCUUCAGACAGAAAGUCCAGCACCUUGGUCCUGCCCCAGGUCACCCUGAGAGACAACGCUGUGUACUACUGCAUCCUGAGCGGGGCACAUGGGGACAGACGGGGCUGUACCUGUGCAGUAUCUCUGGUGGGAAGAAGGGGGGACACAGUGGGGGAGCAGUCACGAGAGCAAAUCUAGAGUCAUCUGGAAGGAGAGUCAGAGAGCAGUAAGAGAUGAGCAAAAUGAUGGGAAGGAAACAGGGAGAAGAUGCAUAAAGAAAAGGACAAGGAAGAAGUGCUUCAUUGAUUGAUGUGGCUGAGACGAAUUAUGGGUAUACUAAGAAUCCUAAUUGCAACAUAGAAAUAAAGUGAGAAGCAUUAGCAAUUUUUCACGGUUCUUUCUCAUGUCAAUAAAACGUUAGUUCCAGUGUGUUAGUCUUAACCUAAACAUGAGAAAAAUACAAAUAAUUAUUGUUCCAAAGACUUCUUUCAUGUCCGACUCUUUGCCAACUCAA